rnacentral:rRNA from 1 species
UACGUAGGGAGCAAGCGUUGUUCGGAUUUACUGGGCGUAAAGGGCGCGUAGGCGGCAAUUCAAGUCAUCUGUGAAAUCUCCGGGCUUAACUCGGAACGGUCAGAUGAUACUGUUUUGCUAGAGUGCAGAAGGGGCAACUGGAAUUCUCGGUGUAGCGGUGAAAUGCGUAGGUAUCGAGAGGAACACCAGUGGCGAAGGCGGCUACCUGGCCCACUCUUGACGCUGAGGCGCGAAAGCUAGGGGAGCAAACGGG